AGGUAGUAUUAAUUAAUAAAACCUAUAUAUUACGACGGCAUUACAAUCUAAUUAGAGGAACUUGUUUACUAAUUGAUAUGCCCCAAUAUUUUUCACUUAUUAUAAAAACUUAUAUACCGCCAUCUAAAGAAUUAAUUUAAUUAUAUUAAUCUUAAUAAAAAAUAAAAAGAUAGGUCAAGGUAUAGUCUAUUUUUAAGAACAAAAUGAGUUACAAUAAAUUAAAUUUAAGAAUUUUUGUUUAUAAACAAAUAUGAAAAAGGAUUUAUAAGUAAUUAUAAUAAUAAUAAUUUAAAUUGAAUGAGAUAUUAAAAUGUGU
rnacentral:rRNA from 1 species